rnacentral:rRNA from 1 species
UACGUAGGGUGCGAGCGUUAAUCGGAAUUACUGGGCGUAAAGCGUGCGCAGGCGGUUUUGUAAGUCUGUCGUGAAAGCCCCGGGCUCAACCUGGGAAUUGCGAUGGAGACUGCAAGGCUUGAAUCUGGCAGAGGGGGGUAGAAUUCCACGUGUAGCAGUGAAAUGCGUAGAGAUGUGGAGGAACACCGAUGGCGAAGGCAGCCCCCUAGGUCAAGAUUGACGCUCAUGCACGAAAGCGUGGGGAGCAAACAGG